ensembl:lncRNA
AUGAGUGUGGUGGCACCAAGGCCUCGCUUUGCCCUUCUGCGAGGCACUGAGGACACGGCAGGCAGCAGGGACAGAUCCUGCCUGAGAGGAGGCGUGCCCAGAGGUGCCUCAGGGAUGGACCCGACCCGCACAGCAGCGGCCACAAGGGGUGCAGUCAGUAGUUGGUCUGAUGAGGGAUGCUUCACACGGGCUGUGAAGGCCAGCGGGACAAACAGCUUCCAGCCAAGGUGGUUGAAGUCAACUGUGAGGCACGGUCUCUGUUUUGUGGAGCAACACAGUGCGGAAAGCAUGGCCCUCGAAGAGCAGGAAGGCCUCCAGGAGAUCUCAUCAUUCUGUACUGCAGUGGAUGACACAGCCUCGGGUGCUACAAAACAUCACAAAGCUGCAAAACCACUGGACUAAGACAGUGAAGUUUUCUGCUCAUAAGAGAGCCUCAGUAUUCCUUGGUUUUAAUGCCAGUAGCGUGGGUAGCUGGCAAAGGAAGUUGAAAUGGGGACCAUGUGCCUUCUCAUUUGUCACUGCCUUUUACUGGAGAUGCUGCAGUUGAUGGAAUAUGAAGGUCAGUGCUUCUCUAUUAGAAGUCUGGGUCCCAGGAAUCCUAAGGGCAUCCUUUUCUUACAUUUGGCUCCAAAGCAUGCUCCUCUCCUGGUGUUCUGAAUGCUCUCUGCCAAGUCAACUUCAGAUGAGAAAGGGUACUGGAUACAGGUCAGAGACUCAGAGCAGCUUGAUACUGAUGGCUGUUCUAAGAACAGAAGAGCUUGAAAGGGAGAUGAUUACAGCCUGACAGCUCCUGGCAGGGUUUCUCUGGACAAGCUCCCCAUCCUCAUGCUUGGCUUUUCCUUUGAUGGAUAAAAGGGCAAUGUUACACAUCCGGAGUAAUUUUCUUAAUGUUACAUGGAUAGGUUUCUGGUGGAGGUUCAUGGACUUGCAUGGAAGAAAGAGCUGCCCAGAGUAAAGAUGGUAACAAGAACAAAAAGUGGAUCAAGUGAAAGCUCUCCCCUUUGACUGUCUUCUUUAAAUUGUAAACUGCACCUUGUGGUGGCAGGAAUAUCCUGACAUUUCGUUUGGAGGCUGAACUGUUUGUGCAAGUCUUCGCACUCUAAGGUUAGAGCAAUGCAGUGCUCUUUGGAAAGUGAUGAACCUAGAAGCUAUUCACAAAAAUGGCAGCAAGCCCAGAACAUAUUGCUGCUACAGGGCUGGAGUGCAUCUGGGACUGGGCACGUCAGUGCUUGUAUGUGCACAACAGCUGCGUGCCAGGGUGCAAGCACGGGGGGGCACAGGCGUGUGCAUCAGCGGGGCUGUAGGUGACAAAGCCAGCUGGAAGCUGAAGCUGUGCAUCAGCGUUUUCAGGCUGUUCAUGGUGCUGAUUUCCAAAUGGACUGAUGGCAUAUUCUUCACAGUUUGGGCAGAACUAUCAUCUUCACUACAAUAGCACGCCCAGGCCCUGUUGUGCUCAGUAAGACUCAGUGUGUGUGUAAAAGGGGACCUGCUGUGAAGGAGAGCACGUGCACCUCCAACAGGCAGAAAAGCUGCUACAAAGGGGCAGUGCAGAGAACUGGGUGUGUAGAAGCCAGUAUGCCUGGGCAUUAGGUCUGAGCAUGUGAAGUUGCUUGGGUGUUCUUGUUUGUUUGUUUGUUUUCAAAUAAAGAUGCCUGCAUACUGCCUUAAUAAUCUAAG